rnacentral:rRNA from 1 species
UUUAAUUUAAAAAAUUUGGCGGUAUUUUAGUCUUAUUAGAGGAACCUGUUUAUUAAUUGAUAAUCCACGAUUAAUUUUACUUAUUUUAAUUAAUUCAUAUAUCGCUGUCAUGAAUAUAUUUAAAAAUUUAUUUUCUUUUUUUAUUUUUAUAAUUUAUGUUAAGUCAAGAUGUGGUUUAUAAAUAAGAAUAUAAUGGGUUACAAUAAAUUUUAUUUUUGGAUUUAAAAUGAAAAUUAGAAUGAAAUUGGAUUUAAUAGUAAGUUUAUUUAUUUAAUUAAUAUGAAUAGAGAUCUAAAUUAU